CCGCCUAGACGCCCCGAUUUAUGCCAAAUCGGUUAAAAAAAUCGGAUAUCCGAUUUUCUCCGCCUAGACCGCCUAAAUGACCGCCUAGCCGCCUAAUCUAUUUUUUAUUAUUAUUUUUUAUUUAUUUUUAUUUUAUUUUUAAAAAUACUUUUAUUUAUUUAUUUGAUCUUAAAUUUUAUAAAUAUCAUCAAUAUUCAUAGUUUUGAUGAAAUUACACUAUAUUAAGUUUAUAUAUUUUAUUUGUGUGUUUUAUACAAUCUUAAACAUGAAAAUGUAUUAAUGUUAUACACAAUUAAAAAAUAACAUGUUUUAUAACAUACUAAACAAUCUAAAAUUUCCGACCCGCAUAAUUUUCGAUUAAUACCCGAUUUUCUUUUUAGGUGCUAGGUCCAACCCGACUGCCUGACUAGCGCCUAGCGUGUUCCCGAACAGGGGUAAUUUAUGGUAGAAUCAGAUAUUAUGUUUGAACCAAAGACUAAGUCGUGUAUCAAAAAGGUUCCCGACACAGUUUGUAGUGUAUGAACUUCUUUUAACAAACCUUACAUAAACUCUUCCCUUUACAUUGACAAUGUGAUGAUAGACAUCACCAGUUGGAAUGUCUGACCAAUGAAAAUGAAUUAUUCCACCGCUUCCUCCACCACCCACUACAAUUUCC
rnacentral:lncRNA from 1 species